rnacentral:lncRNA from 1 species
CCCUAAUUCAUCCCAGGAGGAAAAGGCAGCUUCCUGUAGCCCUAAGCUGAAUCUUGAAGUUCAAGAAGUGAAAGAGUGAACCAAGAACAUCCCAGACAUAGGGAACUGUAUGUGAGCAGGAUCCUUUACUAAAAAGGAAACAGCCCUGCCCAAGGAUCUGGGCUCAAAUUCAAGAUCAGCUGAUUCAACACAGCAUCCCUGUAGAAAAAGCUGGCAGAGUAAAAGCUUCAAUUCCUUCCCAUGGCAGCCCACCAAAACUGGCUUCAAAGAUCCUCUGCUUAUGCUGCAGGGACUGUGAAGAGCCCCAAGUCAUCGAUGACUCCAAGGUUCCCAGUUAAACCCAAGAGAACCAGCCAUUGAGCCACAGUUUGCAGCUUCAGAAGGAAGAGCUCCACAGACCAAAUUCCAAGCACACUAGCACAAGAUGCCUAAUGCAUCCAGCAAAGAGUACUUCCUCCAGCAGCAGUGAGCUUGACCAGUGAGUCACUGAGUCCUAAUACUUACCUCCAGGAAAGGGACCUUGUCACCAUGGAUAUCUGAGCUAAGCUAAAUAGGAUGUGGAGAGAGUGG